rnacentral:rRNA from 1 species
CCUUUGGGUGGGGAAUAACUCAGGGAAACUUGAGCUAAUACCGCAUAAUGCAGCGGCUCGACAUCGAGACAGUUGUUAAAGCGGGGGAUCGCAAGACCUCGCGCCUGAAGAGAAGCCUGCGGCAGAUUAGCUAGUUGGUAAGGUAAUGGCUUACCAAGGCAACGAUCUGUAACCGGCCUGAGAGGGCGGUCGGUCACACUGACACUGACAUACGGGUCAG